rnacentral:tRNA from 1 species
GGGCCGGUAGCUCAGUGGUAGAGCGUUGCCUUUGCAAGGCAAGGGUCAGGGGUUCGACUCCCCUCCGGUCCACCA